rnacentral:rRNA from 1 species
UACGGAGGAUCCAAGCGUUAUCCGGAUUUAUUGGGUUUAAAGGGUGCGUAGGUGGCCUGGUAAGUCAGGGGUGAAAGACGGUAGCUUAACUAUCGCAGUGCCUUUGAUACUGCCGGACUUGAAUGAACUAGAGGUAGGCGGAAUGUGACAAGUAGCGGUGAAAUGCAUAGAUAUGUCACAGAACACCGAUUGCGAAGGCAGCUUACUAUGGUUUUAUUGACACUGAGGCACGAAAGCGUGGGGAUCAAACAGG